CUAAUAGUAAAUUUUUUCUCAUUAAACUUUUUUAAUGGGUCUCAAAAUUCUGUGAUAAAUUUUUGGUCAAAUUGUUUCCAUUAAAAAGUACUGAUUUUAAAAACUAAUACUUUAAACCUGCCACACCCAAAAAAGAAAACCAAAGUGGUCCACAAAACAUUCUCCUUUCCUUCUGAAGGUUUCACGAUGCAUCGUUAUCAUUAACCAGUCUUUUACUACUAAACUUAAAUGGCCAAUUGAAACAAACAGUUCUGAGGCUGUUCUUCCAUCACUGAUUAAGACUGGGGUGGCAAGUAUUAUGCAUAAUAUUCAUUUAUCCUUCUCAGCUUUCUGUGCAGACUUGGUGACCUUGCCAGCUCCAGCAGCCUUCUUGUCCAAUGCUUUGAUGACACCCAUGGCAACUGUCUGUCUCAUAUCAUGAGCAGCAAAGUGACCCAGAGGUGGAUAGUCUGAGAAGCUCUCAACACACAUGUGCUCGCCAGGAACCAUAUCAACGAUGGCAGCAUCACCAGACUUCAAGAAUUUAGAAUCUCUAUUGGGACAAAAUUCUUGUUUACUUUUUUAGAUUCCCUGUUUCCAUGUUUCUUAUCUCUCUUUGCACAAUUCCCUUUUCUCAAAACUUCUCCACUUUCAGACUUAGAUGAAAUAGCAUUAAAGAUGAUAUAAGAUGGCCACGCAUGUAUGACUGGUGCGACUCAGCCCUGCUCCUCCUGUUUUUCCCUCCAGCUGGUUGUCUCAGGAAUACUCUCACAGAGAUGACAGAAGAGCAAAUCUGGAAGUUCAAACACUCAAAUGUGUUGUUGGAUUUCUGCAUGCAUCACAUGGGCUAACAACUGGUCAAAGCAAAUCACAUGGCCAAACUAAAAAUCAAAGGCCUGGAAGAAAGUUCACAGAAAGUUGAGCCAUUCUCCAAGCAAUUGUGUUCGACAGGACAACUUAGGAAUCAAAUUAGAAAGGCUGCACCUUGCCAUAACCAUGCGUCAUCUGGUGCUGCCUUUUCUGGACAGCACACACCCACACAAAAUGCUGGAGACUCUCAUACUGGCAGUUUAGUUCUUCAAACUAUAAAUGUGAAUGCCAGAAUUAAAGAACUAGAGGAGAUGAUAAAACCAUUUUAGGACCCAAGCUCAUUAAAAUAUGUGAUACUCAAU
rnacentral:lncRNA from 1 species